rnacentral:rRNA from 2 species
AGAGUUUGAUCAUGGCUCAGAUUGAACGCUGGCGGCAGGCCUAACACAUGCAAGUCGAACGGUAACAGGAAGCAGCUUGCUGCUUUGCUGACGAGUGGCGGACGGGUGAGUAAUGUCUGGGAAACUGCCUGAUGGAGGGGGAUAACUACUGGAAACGGUGGCUAAUACCGCAUAACGUCGCAAGACCAAAGAGGGGGACCUUCGGGCCUCUUGCCAUCAGAUGUGCCCAGAUGGGAUUAGCUAGUUGGUGAGGUAACGGCUCACCAAGGCGACGAUCCCUAGCUGGUCUGAGAGGAUGACCAGCCACACUGGAACUGAGACACGGUCCAGACUCCUACGGGAGGCAGCAGUGGGGAAUAUUGCACAAUGGGCGCAAGCCUGAUGCAGCCAUGCCGCGUGUAUGAAGAAGGCCUUCGGGUUGUAAAGUACUUUCAGCGGGGAGGAAGGUGUUGUGGUUAAUAACCGCAGCAAUUGACGUUACCCGCAGAAGAAGCACCGGCUAACUCCGUGCCAGCAGCCGCGGUAAUACGGAGGGUGCAAGCGUUAAUCGGAAUUACUGGGCGUAAAGCGCACGCAGGCGGUCUGUCAAGUCGGAUGUGAAAUCCCCGGGCUCAACCUGGGAACUGCAUUCGAAACUGGCAGGCUUGAGUCUUGUAGAGGGGGGUAGAAUUCCAGGUGUAGCGGUGAAAUGCGUAGAGAUCUGGAGGAAUACCGGUGGCGAAGGCGGCCCCCUGGACAAAGACUGACGCUCAGGUGCGAAAGCGUGGGGAGCAAACAGGAUUAGAUACCCUGGUAGUCCACGCCGUAAACGAUGUCUACUUGGAGGUUGUGCCCUUGAGGCGUGGCUUCCGGAGCUAACGCGUUAAGUAGACCGCCUGGGGAGUACGGCCGCAAGGUUAAAACUCAAAUGAAUUGACGGGGGCCCGCACAAGCGGUGGAGCAUGUGGUUUAAUUCGAUGCAACGCGAAGAACCUUACCUGGUCUUGACAUCCACGGAAGUUUUCAGAGAUGAGAAUGUGCCUUCGGGAACCGUGAGACAGGUGCUGCAUGGCUGUCGUCAGCUCGUGUUGUGAAAUGUUGGGUUAAGUCCCGCAACGAGCGCAACCCUUAUCCUUUGUUGCCAGCGGUUAGGCCGGGAACUCAAAGGAGACUGCCAGUGAUAAACUGGAGGAAGGUGGGGAUGACGUCAAGUCAUCAUGGCCCUUACGACCAGGGCUACACACGUGCUACAAUGGCGCAUACAAAGAGAAGCGACCUCGCGAGAGCAAGCGGACCUCAUAAAGUGCGUCGUAGUCCGGAUUGGAGUCUGCAACUCGACUCCAUGAAGUCGGAAUCGCUAGUAAUCGUGGAUCAGAAUGCCACGGUGAAUACGUUCCCGGGCCUUGUACACACCGCCCGUCACACCAUGGGAGUGGGUUGCAAAAGAAGUAGGUAGCUUAACCUUCGGGAGGGCGCUUACCACUUUGUGAUUCAUGACUGGGGUGAAGUCGUAACAAGGUAACCGUAGGGGAACCUGCGGUUG